rnacentral:rRNA from 1 species
AAAGCGAAUAGUGAAAUCUGGGGGCUCAACCUCACAGGCUAUUAUUCGAACUCACUGACUCGAGAAUGAUAGAGGUAACUGGAAUUUCUGAAGUAGGGGUAAUACCCGUAGAUAUUAGAAGGAACACCAAUGGCGUAGGCAGGUUACUGGACCAUUUCUGACACUGAGGCACGAAAGCGUGGGGAGCGAACCGGAUUAGAUACCCGGGUAGUCCACGCCGUAAACUAUGGAUACUA